rnacentral:rRNA from 1 species
CCUACGGGAGGCAGCAGUGGGGAAUAUUGGGCAAUGGAGGCAACUCUGACCCAGCAACGCCGCGUGAAUGAUGAAGGUCUUCGGAUUGUAAAGUUCUUUUCUAAGGGAAGAAGAAAGUGACGGUACCUUAGGAAUAAGCCUCGGCUAACUACGUGCCAGCAGCCGCGGUAAUACGUAGGAGGCAAGCGUUAUCCGGAAUGACUGGGCGUAAAGGGUGCGUAGGUGGUUUGACAAGUUAGUAGCGCAACUCCGGGGCUCAACUUCGGAACUACUACUAAAACUGUUGGACUUGAGUAAAGGAGGGGCAAUCGGAAUUCCUAGUGUAGCGGUGGAAUGCGUAGAUAUUAGGAGGAACACCAGUGGCGAAGGCGGAUUGCUAGACUGUAACUGACACUGAGGCACGAAAGCGUGGGGAGCAAACAGGAUUAGAUACCCUUGUAGUC